rnacentral:misc_RNA from 1 species
UUGUAUCUUGUAGUCUUGAAUUCUGUGUCUCUGUGACCAGGUUUUAUAAUUAUUUUAACUAUGUCUUGAGUUUUUUAACAAAUUCUGUAAACAAUGAAUUUAAUCAUAAUAAAGUAUUUAUUAAAAGUUGUGUUUAUAGUUUUUGGAGUUCAAACUGUGUUUGUCCUCUGUGACAAACCAGUUUGCCCAGGAAAUCAUGAAGCUAAUAAACAAUUUAUAUUCAUAAGUACUUUGGAUGGAAAACUUACAGCAUUAAAUACUGCUAACGGUGGAACAGAAGCUUGGAAAUUAUCAACUGAGCCAGGAGCAUUGUUAUCUUCUACUAUUGGCCAACCAGAGUUAUCAAAUAAUGGCCUUUGGGUGCGAAUGAUUCCAUCAUUGAGUGGCAGUUUGUACACAUUUGAUGGUGAAAAUCUUGAUCGUCUACCAUUUACAGUCGAUUCUUUAUUAAAGUCAUAUUUUCCAUAUUAUGAUGGUUUAGCAAUGUCUGGUGGAAAGAUAAGUCGAACAUAUGGUGUUGAUAUGAGCACUGGUCAAUUAUUAUAUAAAUGUGAUAUGGAUCAGUGUAAUAAUUUUCCAAGUAAUAGUUUCACGAGCAUAGAUGGAAAUAUUUUGAUUUUACAGACACAAACACAAACUGUCCGAGCAUCAGACACACUUACUGGAAUUGAAAGGUGGAAUUUUAGUGUUGGGUUACAUGACAUAAAAGUAAUUAUGGAUUUAAAUAAUAAUUGUCAUACUACAAAUCCUAGUAUCAAACUUGAUUUUAAAAUAAAUAUUCCUAAUGGAGUUGUAACAGCCGUAGCGUUUGACCGGCCUCAAGAAGUUGUUUGGACUCACAAAUCGGAGUCUCCCAUUGUAAAUGUUUGGAAGUUUGAACAUGGGAAAGUUGAAUCAAUUGAUUUAUUUAAACCCGAUCACAAUUUGAAUUCUAUAGAUCCUGUAAUUUAUCUUGGAAUGCAUAAGAAACAAUUGUAUAUUCAAGAAAAUGAUAAAGUAUUUGCAGUUAAUCCAAUUUCAUAUCUAAAAUCGCUUCUUCUUGAAGGGAAUGAAAUUAAUAAAUCUAGAAUACCAUGGAAACCUAUACCAGUUUCUAGUCAAUUAAUUUCAAAAAGUCCUUCGGCUUUACAAACUACUGAUGAUGUAUCUAAGACUACAGCUAUAGCAGUACUAUAUGCAUCAGAGUACAUCAAUGGUAAUGGUUUUUAUCUUAAUGGUCCUCAAAAAACAAAAAGAUUAAUAGAUGGAAAGAAAUAUAAAAGUUUUAAUAGUGAAAAUGAAAAUGAAACUGAAAAUAAUCACGAAAGUAUUAUUCAAUAUGAAGAAGGCCUUGAAAUGCCAGUUGAAAUAAUUAUUGUUUCGCUAUGGUAUUGGUGGAAAGAAGUAUUAUUUAUAAGUGUUAUUACAGCCAUUUUGAUAAACAUCUUUAUUCCGUCACGUUUAGCACGAAUAAUUACUUUUAUACACAACCGUUCAAAAAAAAAUGAAGGUGUUGAAAAAAUUGUAGAACCGAUUGAAAACAAUAUUGAUUGUUGUAAAGACUCUGGUAUUGAAUUUUCAUCAGACAAUAUUGUUCAAAAACAAUUACAUCCAAUAGUAGAAUUUAAAUCACGAUAUUUACAAGAUUUUGAACCAAUCCAUUGUUUAGGAAAAGGAGGUUUUGGGAUUGUAUUUGAGGCUAGAAAUAAGAUUGAUGACUGCCACUAUGCAAUUAAAAGGAUACCUUUACCAUCAAAAGAAGAAUCUAGAAAUCGUGUACUUCGUGAAGUUAAAGCAUUAGCAAAGUUAGAUCAUCAACAUAUUGUACGUUAUUUCAAUACUUGGCUUGAAGAACCACCAAGUGGCUGGCAAGAAAAACAUGAUGAUGAUUGGUUGCAAAAGUCUGGUGAUAUGGACAUGAAUAGUAAUCUAACAAUGAGUGAAAAACAAGUUACUAAUGUUUGUCAAAAUAAACAUCAUGUUCGAGCAAAAAGUUUGUCAACAUGGAUAACGCUUCCAGAAAGCAGUGAAGAAUUAUCUGAUAUUUUAAAUAACCCUCAUGCAUUACGGUCAUAUAAUGAUAAAAGUGAUUCGUCUUUUAUUGUGUUUGAAAGUCAAAUAAGUGACACCAAUACAAAAGAUUGCAUAUUAGAUAUAAGUUCUGACAACUUAACUAAAGCUAGUAAACGGCGGAGGUAUAAAUCUGAGUGUGAUACAACAAGCAAUGCUCAUAGUGAGCGAAAGGCAACUAGACAUUACUUAUACAUACAAAUGCAACUUUGUCAUAAAAAUAGUUUAAGAGAAUGGCUGAAAGAUAAUACUAAAAAUCGAGAUAUGAAGUAUAUUUUAAAUAUUUUUAGCCAAAUUAUACAAGCUGUUGAAUAUGUUCAUUUGCAAGGAUUAAUACAUAGGGACUUAAAAUUACAGAAAUGAUAGAAUCUAGUGAAGGGAUCACUAUACACGAAAAUAAAAAAAAAUGGUUAAAUGAACAACACACUGACAGAGUUGGUACCCAGUUGUAUAUGAGUCCAGAACAGAUAUCUGGAACGUCAUAUAAUUAUAAAGUAGACAUAUACUCCCUUGGAGUUAUAUUUUUUGAAUUGCUCAAUCCUUUUACUACUGAAAUGGAAAGGUACCAAACAUUAACUCAACUUAGAAAUAAUAUAUUUCCUCCUCA